AUGAUGACGGAGAUUUUUUUAUUUUUAUUUAUUUAUGAUAGUCACAGAGAGAAAGAGAGAGGCAGAGACACAGGCAGAGGGAGAAGCAGGCUCCAUGCACCGGGAGCCCGACGUGGGAUUCGAUCCCGGGUCUCCAGGAUCGCGCCCUGGGCCAAAGGCAGGCGCCAAACCGCUGCGCCACCCAGGGAUCCCGAUGAUGGAGAUUUUAGCUGCUCCAAACCUUCAGCGGAACCUGUUAUACAAAUGACCAACCAAAGAAAAGGGCUUGAUUUCCAAACUGUGUCAGCAGGAGAGAAAAGCGCUGCAGAAGGUGAGAUGUGAGAGAGUCCAUGUGUUCAGAGAGAGCAAGAACUCAGCCAGAAGUGACCCUGAGAUUCUAAAACCCCCAGGGAUUGUACCAUCUUGGAGAGAACAUUGGCCUUUCCACACGAGGUGGGAAAGGGACUUGAGUCAAUUUUAACAAAAUUUCUGUGGACAAGGUGACCCCGACUGAGAACUGGAUGACAUGCACAGUAAGCAGCUUGCUAUUUUCAAUCAUAAUUUCUCAAGAGACAUUUAUUGGUAGAAAAUGACAGGGUAAUUCUGCCGCCCCCCUUCCUCCGUUUAUUUAAAUUACUAGGUCUCAUUUUCCUCAUCUGCAAAGUCUGGAGAUUGGACAGAGACCAUCUCCGUGGUUUCUAUUAGAGUCUACAGCUCUAAUAACGAUGUUACAGAUGCAGAGAACAGACUGGUGGUUGCCAGAUGUGGGGAUUGGGAGUAGUGGGUGAGGAGGGUGGUCGAAGGGUACAAAUUUCCUAUUGUAAAAUAAGUCAGUCCUGGGGAUGUAAGGUACAGCCUGGUGACCAAAGUUAACAACACUGUAUUGUAUAUUUGUAAGUUGCUAAGACUGAUCUUGAAUUAUUUUUAUGUUUUUUUUUUUUUUUUUUUUUGAGGUACAUUCACCUACAGUGAAAUGUGCAGAUUUUACGGGUACUAUUCCAUGAGUUUUGACAAAGGCAUAUGCCUCUGUAACCCGAAGCCUAAGGAAGAGACAGAGCUUCUCCAUCACUAGAGAAUUCCGUCUUCAGCCGCACCCCAGCCUCCCCUCCGGCCACCCCUCUUCUGACUCUUACCACGAAGGGUUAAAUAAGAUUUAAACAUUGUUAAAUGCCAGUCUUUGUUUCACAGUGGUCCAUCGGUAUCGACGCCCUGAUUUCUCCAAGGCACUGGGCACUAGACAUCGUCUCCAUUUUGCAGAGUAAGGCGUUCCGCAUCCGGGAGUGAACUGCCCCCGGGGAUCCGCUGCCCGGGGUAGGGGCAGGGCGGGAACCGAGAAGCGGUUCUGCGGUUUCUACGGUUUCUACGGCCCCGGCCCCGCACCUCUGAGAAGGCUGCUGCAGAGUCCACAAACCAUCACCUCAGGAAUAGCAUACGCCUCAAACGUUCGGCCCAAAUCGGCGCCUCUUAGGAGUUCUCAGACCUCAACAAUCCGAAAGGCCGUACGCUCUACACCUUACUAAGGGACUCCUCUCCACCCUGCUCCUCCGAAAGCGGCAGAGGGUGUGCAACACUGCAAAUGGGAUUUUGCUGGUGGAAAGGCCAAAGGGGGACGGGCCGGCCCGGGCCCGACGACCUUUACGGAGCCCGGCGGCGAGACGCCCGGCGCUGCCUCCUCCGGCGCCACAGCUACCGUCUCAGAAUAGAGCGGCACCGAGGCGCUCCGCCGACCGCAGCGGACCAGCGUCCGGCCGAGGGAUUGGCCGCGGCCGCGGCAGGGCUCGUCGGGCAGUCCCCGAGCUCGAUCAGCCGCGCGUCCUCCUCCAGGUCACCGCCCGCCCCUCUCCGCCUCACCCUUGCGCCGCCCUUCC
rnacentral:lncRNA from 1 species